CAGAAAAUAAAAGUAAAAAGAAUUUAUUGUAAUGAAGUGUAAAUCAAUGACAAGCUGUAUCAUCUAAAAUACAUCCUACAAAUUGAAAAUUUUAUAGACUCAAGAAUAGAAUAUAAAAUCACAUACAAAACAUUAUAGAUCCAUACAAAUUUCAUCAAAAUCACCCUAAUUUUCAAUGAAAAGGGUCCAAAAGCUAAAAAAUUGAAUUAAUGAAAACACUAUUAUAUUGUUUACUCGAUCCCGAAAAUCACAUCAAAUCUUAUCCUUAAACGCGCGCGGCAACCACGGGAGCAGCAGCAGCGGCGGCAUUGGAGGCGGCACCACCGAGGAAUGACAGUAAUCCAGUAGCAGCAGGCUCUUGCUCAUCCAAGAAAAGAUCCUCAGGAUCCCUAAACGAACCAUGAGCAAAAACAAUGGCCAAUCCCACCAAGAGAGCCGAUAUAAGAACAGAUCCAACGCUGGUGAGGAAAACCACAACCACGCUGAAGACAAUAAGCAACCCGAGGGUUUCACGAUCGGUGAAGGUACGGCCAAAGAGAACGAGAGGCUGAUCAGAAGGGCGGAAAAGAUAGAGAAAUAGCCAAGAGGCCAGGAGUACAAGAAGGAGCAAGAGUGACAAGGGAUGGGAAAGCAAAGAGAAAGCCAAGAUGAGGGCAAUGACGGUCAAGUAAUUAACGCGGAAGUAGGAAUAAUUCUUGCGGACACGUAGAGCAGCCUCAGAGAAGGAUUCAGGUUUGCAGAAGGCGUUGCGGUCGACGAGUUCCGCCCAGGGCCGACGCUGGGACAGGCCAUGGCGGACAGACCCGGAGAUUUGGUUGAUGAAGGCGCGGAAGGCAGGAGUAGCGAUGGGAGGCUGCGACUGGGCUGAUGCAGCGGUGGGGGCAGUGGUAUGUGGGGGGUUGGAGAUGGGUAGUAUCGGAGGAGACGGAGAAGCCAUUUUCUUUGCUGGAAUUGGUAGCUUCUUGUUCAGAGAAAUGCGCGAUGAAAAUCGAGGAAUAGAGAGAAUAUAGGAGGAGGAAUUGGGCUAAAUUUAGAGAUUGAUGGAUUUUUAUUUAUUUAUUUAUUUUUCCAAUUUAUGUUUCAAGGUAAUUUUUAAGUCAUCAUUUCUAUCAAUCUUUCAGAUUUCAUUAAAAAAUUUUUGCAACUUAGAUAUGCAUCAUUUUCUUUUUCAGCCUAAUAAAAUACUACUGUUAUUUUGUACACAUGAAUGUGGCUGUUUCUAGCAAACAAGGGUAUCGUGAGGCUCAGAAAAUGAAUUAUUUUUGUCCCAAUGGUUCCUUUUUUUCAUUUUUUUUAUCCUUGAUGUUACAAGAAUACCCUUUUAGCUCUAAGUGAGUACCUGAUGUGCCAGGACUUGUGCAUAGCUUUUACUCCGAUCCAAUUUGCUUGUCAUUAUGCCUACAAAUUCAUCAUAUGCGCUGGCUUUUAUUGUUACUCACCUUGUUCUGGGAACCUGCAGGUAAAGUAGUUGCAAAAUUUUG
rnacentral:misc_RNA from 1 species